CGGCGGACGGGUGAGUAACGCGUGGGUAACCUACCCUGUAUACACGGAUAACAUACCGAAAGGUAUGCUAAUACGGGAUAAUAUAUUUGAGAGGCAUCUCUUGAAUAUCAAAGGUGAGCCAGUACAGGAUGGACCCGCGUCUGAUUAGCUAGUUGGUAAGGUAACGGCUUACCAAGGCGACGAUCAGUAGCCGACCUGAGAGGGUGAUCGGCCACAUUGGAACUGAGACACGGUCCAA
rnacentral:rRNA from 1 species